ACCAGACUCCUACGGGAGGCAGCAGUGGGGAAUAUUGCACAAUGGGGGAAACCCUGAUGCAGCGACGCCGCGUGAGUGAAGAAGUAUUUCGGUAUGUAAAGCUCUAUCAGCAGGGAAGAAAAUGACGGUACCUGACUAAGAAGCCCCGGCUAACUACGUGCCAGCAGCCGCGGUAAUACGUAGGGGGCAAGCGUUAUCCGGAUUUACUGGGUGUAAAGGGAGCGUAGACGGCAAUACAAGUCGGAAGUGAAAUACCCGGGCUCAACCUGGGAAUUGCUUUGGAAACUGUAUGGCUGGAGUGCUGGAGAGGUAAGCGGAAUUCCUAGUGUAGCGGUGAAAUGCGUAGAUAUUAGGAGGAACACCAGUGGCGAAGGCGGCUUGCUGGACGAUGACUGACGUUGAGGCUCGAAAGCGUGGGGAGCAAACAGGAUUAGAUACCCGAGUAGAA
rnacentral:rRNA from 1 species